ACCAGAACUUAGCUUUAAAGCUAAGAGUAAACUUUACGAUGCACUCUUUAGAAUUAGUCAACCAGGAAGGAUCUCCAUCAUCAGUCAAUAACAAGGCCGCCCAACGUCUCUGAACAAAAGCAUUUCUUAUUCUAUACUUAAAAUUUGGGACCGCAGGUGGAGCCUCAUAUCCUGACCCGAAUAGCAUCCUAUUAAUUAUUUGGGCUGAGAUAUCAACGGUGACCCCUCAGACAGGGACAGACCCCCU
rnacentral:lncRNA from 1 species